rnacentral:lncRNA from 1 species
CCUCAUCAAUUUUCAGCACAUCAGCUACUGAACAAAUUCAGAAGAUUUGCAGAAUGAUAACCCAACAGAUUUCUUUUGAAGGUUAAACCUCUAACUCUCUUACUCGAGCACUUCUUUUGAAACAGAAACUCAAGUUAGAACCCAUACAUAACACGUACACUGAUUCCAUCAUAUAUAUAAAUUUGCAUAUGACAACAAGACCCAAACUCAAUGAUGUUUAUUUAUCGUCUGUGCAUAUACAUACAUACAUGAAGCAUGUUUUUUUAAAAAUAGAAAAGAAGUAGAUAUUGAAGCUCUGUUUUCUUUUAUCCUUGUUUUCGAACUGCUGUGUCGAGUCGGGUAGACGAGUGUGGUGGCUGUGUGAAUUGAGUCGGGAGGUGGACGGAGGCACGGCACGGCAGCGGCGCUGCUGUCGCCCGGCCACGGUGAGAGAGAGGGAGCUAGGGCUCGGACGCCGCUCUUCGCGGUGGGAUGUCGGGCCUGUUUCAGCCGAGAGAAGGGAGAACCGAGGGGUAGUGGUUGUCGCCGUUGCUCCGGCGAGCUCCAGCGGCCGUGAGAGCAGUUGAGAGGGAGACGAGCAGCGAGAGUGGAAGAGGGAGGCCAGAGCUCGGCGGCCUUGGCUGCUGUUGCUCGGCCACGGUCGGAGAAGUAGAGGAGAGUCGGAGUCAGCGGCGGUCGGUGGCGGUUCUCGCUGCUAUCGCCGGAGUUCCAGAGGAAGGAGGAAGGAGGAGAAGGCGGUCUAGUCGGGAACCUGUGUUGAACUUGGCCCCGUCAGAGCUUCUAGCUCGAUUGUGUCGAGUCGAGAGGAUUGGAAUGGAGGCUCUCAUAGAGAGGAUGCACGGCUCGUUUGACGAGUGAGUUGCAGGACGGCGGCGACCUUGGCCUUGCUGCCGUCGACCUGAGGAGGGAACCGAGCGUCGUCAGCGGCUGUCGUUGUUGCUCCGGCAAACUUCGGCGGUGGCGAAAUUCUGAGGGAGAAGGGUGCUGCUGCGUGCGUGAGUUUGUGUAGGUAGAGGAAAAACUAGGGAGAAGAAGAUGGGGUAGAGGGAAAGGGACGGUCGUCGGCUUCUCGCCGGAAGGAGCCGCGGCAGCGGGAAUGAUGGCUGAGAGAGAGAGGUCGAGAGAGAGAGGGGGCUGAGCGGGUUACUGGCGACGCUGGGUGCGUGCGUCUGUGUGUGAGGCGGCGGUACGGCUGGUGUCGUGUCGUCGCCGGAGUCAGAGGGUGGCCGGCGCCGUGUCCGGUUAAUGCCGUGCGGCCGUGAGUCCGAGAGGGAGAGAUAGAGCAGUCGAGAGGGAGAGAGAGCAGUCGUGAGAUGAGAGAUAAGAGAGGGUGUGCGGCUGAUAGGGAGAAGAUAGAGAAGGGUUGGGGGUGUUGGGCUUUGGAGUGGGCUUGAGCAUAUGGGCCGAAAAUUUUAAAGGUUGGGCUUUGUUAUUUCCUUAUUUGGGCCGAGUAUUUGGGCCGAUUUUUAUGAGUGAUGGGCUUCGAUUUUUAAAUAGAUUUGGGCUGCGAUUUUUAAAAGCUUGGGCCGAUUUUUAAUUUUAUUUAGCUGGGCCCGAUUUAUUUUAUUCAGUCUGGGCCAUUCAUAUUUUAUUGAGUUGGGCCUCAUCUUUUAAAUUUAUAUGGGCUAUUAUUUAUUUAAGCAUGAGCUCUAUUUCAUCUAUUUAAAUGACUUCCCUAUUUUAUUUAAUUAGACUAUUAAUUAGUUUGAUUAAUUAUUUUUAAAGACUUUGGAUUGCCUUCAAUUAAUUAAAUUGGGCUUUCUUAUUUUUAAUUAAUUGAACUAUUAUUAGUUUGAUUAAUUUAUUUAAAGGAUAAUUUUUAUAAUAAUAUUAAAUUAUUAUUAAGUGCAUAUUUUAAGUAAUUACUUAUCAUAUGCUAAGCAUGACAUGACAUUUCAUUUGCAUCAUGAAAUAAAAAGUAUUUAUGAUUCAAUUGGUUUUAUUUAUAAUUCCAAUUAUUAAAGAAAGAUGAGUAAGAAUAUUGUUGGUGUUCUUAACUCAAGAGAAAUGUUUUCAAGUAUUUAUUCAUUAAAUUUUGAAACCCGGCGUGACGAAUUUUAGAAUGUUAAGUAUUUUCCACUAAGACUUUAAGUUAGCUUCACGAGACCUAUUAAGAAUAGAAUUUCUUGUAGGCUUUGUGGACCAAGGGGAUUAGCGCUGCUUUCCCAAGACAGGUUAUGUGAUUAUGAUCUUCAGGCUUUGCCUAUCCAGGUGGGCAUUAUUUUAUUAUUACGUAUAUAGAGAUCCCCUGCGUGACGUAGGCCUCAUAUGCGAAUAUAUAUGCAUGAUAUGUUUUGACUAUUUAUUCAGUUCUUAUAAAAUGCUUAUAUGUUCAAUGACCCUUAUGAAAUGAAAAUGAAAUGUUAUGAAAAUGAAAUGUUUAUGAAAUGAUUGACUGCCAAAAAUGUUUAUGUUUUUUAUAUGUAUCCUAUCUGUGUUGGUUCGCCAACUUUAAAGGAAAUCCAAUUGGGAUCCUAUGCUAGACAAAGGUCGCUAGCUAGGGUUAACGUGUACACUUAUGGAGACCGCGAGUCGCUUGCGACCGGUCUUGGCGUCCGUGGUAAGGAGGCCUCCUUCCCGGCGCGUGACAGAAAGGAACAGAUAUGGAUCAUAUGAAGGAAAAUGAUCGGCCGAUCGACUUUAUGAAAAUGAAAGAAAUGUUUUAGUAAGCGCAGGUCAUUUAAGAAACCCCUGUGUGUUACUGUUAUGGCAGUUCAAUUUAUAUAUGUAUGCAUGUCGUAUUUUCGGCUAUGCCCACUGAGUAUUUUUAUACUCAGCCCUGCAUGUAUUUCUAAAUGUGCAGGUUGAGCAGUUGAUGGAAUGGAAUGAUGUUGAGCGGGUGUUCCUUUGACAUUUUAAGAAAUGUAACCUUGAGUAUACAUCUUCAUAUGUAUAUCUCACACGUUUUCCGCUGCAAAACACUUUGAUUAGGAUAGCUCUAUGAUAUGAAGUUGUGAUACGUGUUAUUGGGUAACCACCUUAAUC